rnacentral:lncRNA from 1 species
AGCGCGCCGCGGCCCCUCGCCUCCCUCAGAGCGCUCCGCACCGCCGUCCCCACCGACCUUCAACGGGGCCGGGGCCAGGCUCCGACCGCCAGCAGUCGGGUGAGGGGCCGCGGCGGGCGAACGGCGGACGAAGAGGAGGCCGCUUCCUUCCUGGCCCCUGGGCAAGAGGGACGGAGGGAGGGGUCGUGGGUGUCGGGAGCCGGGGGAGCCAGAGGGGACAGUAAGGGGGUUACCUCUCGCCCGGCUCGGCCUCUUCCCCCGCCUGUCGAACGGAGGAGCUCGUUGUCCAGCUGCAAGAAGACGGCCCGACCCGGCUCCUCCGUGCAGUCCCGGGUAGAGAGCCCGGUCCCUGCGCUAGUCGAUUUGUGCAGUAGGAAAGGAGGCUGCAGGGGAUCUGCGCCGGGGCAGGACAGAUGCCUUUCGGGACCCAGUGUUUGCAUCUUGGGAGAUGUGGGUGCUGAUCUGGUUGUUUCUUGGUUUAUGACGCCAAAAAGGGCGGGAGGGGGCUGAUGAAGUGAAGCCUUUCGCUAAUACAUUCCGUUAACAGAAGCCCACGAAGGAUCAUUGAUUUAUUUCACUCUUCCCUGUUUCUGAACCUUAUCUGGCAAAAACUUUUGUGGUGCAUAAAGUUCAGUAUGUUGCUAAAGCUGAGUUAAUGAAAGGAAAAUUUCAGCUGCGACUCUUGUUUUAAAAAUGAAUCUAGGAUGGAUAGUGGUGUUGGUUGCACAACAAUGAAUGGACAUAAUGCUACUGAACUGUGCACUUAAAAAUGGUUAAAAUGGUAAAUUUUCUGUUAUGUAUAUUUUACCACAAUAAGAAUGAAUUAGAAGGGAAAAGCUUUGUGCAUUCAUUUGAAAGUAAUGGUGAGGUCUUGUAACGUAGGCCAUUUAGGGGACAGGUUUUGAAUAUAUCUUUGUACCAGUUUUUUUUUUUUUCGAGUGUGUGUGUGAGACAGAGCAUUGCUCCGUCGCCCAGGCGGGAGUGCAGUAAUGUGAUCUCGGCUCACUGCAACCUCUGCCUCCGGAGUUCAAGCAAUUCUCCUGUCUCAGCCUCCCUAGUAGCUGGGACUACAGGCGCACACCACCACGCCUGACUACUUUUUGUAUUGUUAGUAGAGACGUGGUCUCACCAUAUUGGUCAGGCUGGUUUCGAACUCCUGACCUUAGGUGAUCCACCCGCCUUGGCCUUCCAAAGUGCUGGGAUUACAGGCCUAAGACACCGUGCCUGGCUUGUACCAGUUUUUACAUGAUUGGGUGUCCUCUUAUCCUGUGAACCAAUUUAUUUGCAUUUGUAUGAAUGGCCUGCUUUCCUGAUUUCUAAUUUGUCCCUUCUUUUAUAGCCCUAUACCAUUUUACUAUCCUUGCUAAACAGGCUUUUAUUGCUUGUUUUGUGACUUGAACUUUAGCCUCAAAAUUGGAAAGGCUUUUUCUGUUUUUUUUUUAGUUCCAGCCAUGUCUUAGGAAAAUAUAGUAAACAACCAAUUAUUUGCAUUUCCACGUCCGUGCAUCCCUAAAACACACAGUGUGCCAAGAUUCUUUCCCUGUUCCACGUUCUUUUUAUUCAAAUCACAUUGUUAACUCAUCUGCUGUGUGCCAGGCAGUGUGCUAAUCUUGGAAGAUACCAACAUGAAUGAAAAAGAACUUGGGUGGAGUGUUUGCAUUAUUACCCUAUGAUGUAAUGUGUAUAGUGCAGAGAUAAAUGCACAGAGAGCUAUUGAAGCUCAGAAGAAGCAUUAAUCCAACUUUGGGAAGAGGUCAUGGGUCAGGAAAAACUUCCAGGAGAAAAUGAUUCCAGAGAGUUGAAGUGGGAUGUCUUGUGGUGGCGGUUGGGAGGAGUAAAGGGAAAAGGAUUGCUUGAACAGAAGCUGUACAGUAAGAAACUGGUCUUUGUGCUGAACUAAAACUAAGACUUCUAUGCCACUGUUUAGGGAUGUGAGGCUGGAGAAGUUGACAAGGAUCAUGGUGAGCCUUCAAAAAAAGUCAAAUCAGUUCAACCAUUAUAUAUAUAUAUAUAGCUUAUUAGAUAUUUGCCAAAUACUGUGCUAGUUACUGAGGGAUAUAAUGAAAGUUAAGGGUCAGUCUAAAAUCUCAGAGUUUGCAAUCUAGCAGGGGUAGACAGGCAUGUAAAAACAAAAAAAAAACAAGUUCUGCUACAGAGUUAAAAUUGGGGUAGGUACGGGGUUGUCUGGGAACCCAGAAGAGGAGCACUUAACUAACCUAGAGAUUUAGCAGGACUUCCUGGUAAUUAUCUAUUGAUAGAAGAAUAUAAAAUAAUCUCUUAAAGAAAUAAGAAAAUUCACCUGGGGUGGCUCACUCCUGUAAUCCCGGCAUUUUGGGAAGCCGAGGCAGGCAGAUCACUUGAGGUCAGGAAUUUGAGACCAGCCUGGGUUUAGUAGAGAAACCCCAUCUCUACUAAAAAUAAAAAAAUUGCCGGGCGUGGUGGCAGGCGCCUGUAAUCCCAGCUACUCCAGAGGCUGAGGCAUGGGAAUCACUCGAACCUGGGAGGUGGAGGUUGCAGUGAGCCGAGAUCGUGCCACUGCAUUCCAGCCUGGGUGACAGAGUGAGACUCCAUCGCAAAAAAAACCAAAACGAACAGCAACAACAACAACAAAAACAAUAAGAAAUACGAAAAUUUAUGGCAUCUACUGAGGUACAGACUACUAGAGAGUAUAGCAUACUGAUCUAAUUGUCAGAUUACCUGGUUCUAAUUCUAGAGUCUACAGUAUACUGUGUUAUCUUGAGAGUCUCUUAUCUUCUCUAGGUCUGUUUUCUCUCAAAUAUAAGAAGAUAAUCACAUUAUAUAGACUUUGAAUUCCUUUAGAAAUUUGUCUAGAAAUUUCCUGAUUCUAAAUUUACUUCCCAUAUUUAUCUUCCCAAGUUUGGUGUCACCCAUUAUGCUGCUAAUAAACAGUUUUGUGUCACAUUUAAUGUACAUUAACAUUUUAUGUUAUAUAUGUGUCCUUUUCAAUCUAUGUUGUGCUCAAGGAAUAUAAGAUUUGGAAUCCUUUCU